rnacentral:rRNA from 1 species
UACGUAGGGUGCAAGCGUUAAUCGGAAUUACUGGGCGUAAAGCGCGCGUAGGCGGUUUUCUAAGUCUGAUGUGAAAUCCCCGGGCUCAACCUGGGAACUGCAUUGGAGACUGGAAGGCUUGAGUCCGGGAGAGGGAGGUGGAAUUCCACGUGUAGCGGUGAAAUGCGUAGAUAUCUGGAGGAACACCGGUGGCGAAGGCAGCCUCCUGG